UUGGGCUGCUGUUCUAGGACGACGACCAGUCGGACACACUGCACAUUGGCGAGUGUGCGGAGGAGUAGAGGAGGCCAUCGGGGGCGGAUCGGAGGAGCCCAGGACCGGGACGAGAUCGGGGCAGAGGCCAGGACCGGGACAGGGACAAUGGUGGUGUUGGAGGGUAAUGACGCCGCCGGCAGGAUCACCGUCGGCGUCUGUGUCAUGGAGAAGAAGGGUGUUCUCUUCUCCAAUGGAGCAGAUUCUUGAGCGGCUCCGAGCUUUUGGAAAAUUCAUUGUUGCCUCGGCAACAUAUCCAUUGUGCCUGCCGCAAUAGUUCACUUUUUGUUGUUCCCGUGAAUCUAGAACUGAGACAUCUCCUUUUUCAGGAGAGCCAGGUGAUAUUAGUUCUUGGAAAUAUGAAUAUGUGAGGUAUGACCGAACUGAGAUAAUAUAUUUCAUAGCUCCUUCGAUCA